CUUAUAUUUGGAUAGAGUUCUGUAUUUUCCAAAAGGAUCUCAAUCCAUUAUCUUAUUUGAACUUGACAACAACAUCAUAGUGUAGAUAAUAUAUAUGUGUCUUUGUAUAUGCAUGAAGAUUGUACUUAUCUGCAUAUGAGAGGAAUAGUACAGCUUGAAUCAUUUGGCCAGGGUUAUAAAUGUCCCCCACAUGUACGAAGAAAGCAUGUCCUUUCCUUGGCUCAAAAGAUCUACUAGGUAAUAGAGCUUAAUAAAAUUGAAUUCUAUUUUUUUCCCUUCAGCUGUCAGAGCUUUGGGUUAAGAAGACCAUAGUUUUAUGAGGAUGAAGCUGGAACAGAUGCAAGAAACCAGAUCAUCUACUCCUUCAUUUCAUAGUUGAAGGAAUUGAAACCAAGGAGUUAAUUUUUUUCCCCAAGAUCAUACAGGUAGUAAAGUAUUAGGGAAAGGAAUUGAACCUGUAUUUGGACUUAAUUUUUCUGACGAAACAACCAGCAUCCUUCACAUUUUUAUGGUUCUAUCUGAAUGGAAUAAACUGAUUGAAGACUUCUUAUAAGAAUGUGGCCUUAACCUAUGUCUUAAUUGUGACUUGAGAUUUUGUAAUAGAUUGAGAAUUAAUUUGGCACAGAAGAUAAUCCAGCUGAGAAAAGUUUGAAUUCAAUGAGGAACAGUCCAGGGGAUAUGGGCCACAGAGCUCUGACUCAGACUUUGCCUAUCUGCCAAAAUCAAGAAAGAAAAAAAAGAUGUAGAGAGGAGUGCGAGGGGAGAGAAGUCUCAUUAACUCAUCUUGAAAAUAAGAGAUAAGGAAGAGAUGACUUUCAUGAACAAUUCAAAUUCUAAAAUACUAUAAAGGCAAAUCACUCUUUAACCUAAUUUUCUCCAAUCUUAACAACCACAAGUUCUUCAAACAUUCUUCUUGGGACCCACUUUCCAUUUCUUGAGUCAUCUUUGCCUCUCUUUCUUGCCACUUUUAUUGAUUUCCCGUAUCCCUUUACAGGUGUGGUGAUACACAUUAUACUUACUUAAAUUUUGAAUAAUGAACUUUUCCCCCUACAUGGAGCCCCAAAUACUAUAAAAUGAAUUGUAUAUGAAAAGUAUGAAAACCUUCAAAAUUUUUAGAUUAUGUUUCACUAAAGGGAUUUAUUUGAAUGUUUUCAUGACCACCCCUGAAUAGUCUGUGUCAACCAAAAGCUAUCUAGCCCCAAACUAGGAACAGAGUCCAGGAUAUAUAUUUUGGAUAUUGAUUGAUACACUGUAUUGAUCCAUAGUCACAUAAGUGUACAGAAUUUGAACUCAUGCCAUUCUAAAUUAUGAUUGUUCAAUGCCAAGAGAUACUAUUGUUUUUAUAGAUGGGAUUUAUCUUAAUUAUAAAAAGGCAAACCUGAUUAUUCCAAGCUCUUCUUUGUUAUAGUAGUAAUAUGCUACAUUAUGUAUUGAUACACUGUUAAAGUGAAGAAAGUUCAUUCUAUAAUAGACACUAAAUGCAUACACAUCAUUUAAACUUCCAUUCUGUGUUAUUUAAAAAUAAAAGAUUAAUCUUAGAGUAGGCAAGUCCUUCAGAAGCCUGUGAAUGUAACCUGUAUGUAAUGGAUUCAAGCAAGAUACUCCUCCAUCCCUCCAGCUCUGGCCAAAGACCAUCACAAGAAAAAUUAAUAGAAUUAUAUUCCUUCAGCACCACAUGUAUUGUCCCUUGAACUGGGCACAAUCUACAGACACAUUUGCUCCAGGUUUUUCUAGUAAGCUACUUGUAUUAGACCAGAGCAGAAAGCUGUACUGCUUUCAUAUGAUAUAGAAAUUCCUUGGCUCUUAUGAAGGCAACAGGGAAAGGUUUUGGCUUUAAAACAGACUAGUUUCUAAGGCAGGAAGAUGAGUUUACUCAGUAGAACUUAAAAAAGAGAAUAAUUGUAUCUAUAAGAAAUUUGUUCUACUGUUCUUUUGGAUUCUCUCACUGUCUCUAUCUACAGUCCCAAAUCUCCAGACUCUAAGCCAUGAAGUAUGAAAAAGGUAUAUGUCUUCUAUCUUCAGCAGUUAUAGAAGUUUUGAAUACAGAUACUGCCUAAGGAAGCCGGAACCUGGAGGUAGGCCCUAUGGGCCCUUUCCUCCCUUCUCUUUCCCCUGCCUUUUCUUUCUUUGUUUUUAAGCAAAGAACAGGUGACCAAAAAUGAUAUUGAAAGAUGGGUCUUUUAGGAGUGGCUACUCUAGAAGUUCCUUGGUCUUCCCCAUAAACAUUAGCAGAUGUCUCUUGCAAGUACUCCAUUGCUUCUUGGAGAAGAUGCCUAGUAGAUUCUAAACUCAGCCUAGAUUGCCAGAAAAUCUGGACUAGGAGAGAGCUGGGUAGUAAGGAAAUGAAUGUAAAAUUAUUAUAAAAUCAUCUUACAAAGUUUCUUAUGCUUUGAAGUUGAACUAUCAUAAAACUAUAAUAAGAUAAUAAUAACUUCAGAUUUAAAUAUUUUUCAAUGAAUACUUGUAAAUCUUUUAUGUCUUAAGUAUUUAUUUUGUAUAGAGGAAAUAAAUGGUUGAAUAGACAUGAGAUGUGCAAAAUUAGAGAAGCUAUCCUAAAUGUCCAUAGGGAUUAAUUGUGACCAACUUGUAGCAAAGCAUUCCAAGAUCAUGUUGGUCUGAUCAGCCAUAGUCAGAUGCACUGUAACUUGACUCUAACAUAGUGAUGUCAUGUCUUCUUUGAGUAUUAAGAACAACAUCCACAACCUAUAUUUGAUUUAUACUUUACUUUGUGUACCUUUCUAUACUUUUGUUGGAUUGGAGACACUUUAGACACCUCAAAAUUUUUCAGUGACUCUCCCCAGCUGCUUCAGGUUAGAGGUGUAAAGAAUUAUAGAGUUGGAUUAAAAAAAAAAAAAGGCAGACCCUUGCCUGUAGGGGUCAGGCAGAACUGAAUAUAAUCAGCACAUGUUGCUUCACAACAAGAAACCCAUUUAGAAGACAAAAGUGAGUGCUCUACAUACUCCUCUUUCUCAGAUCCAGCAGUGCUUUGAUAUUGUUACAUGUAUUUGAACAGGAAUUCCUUCUACAUUACUUCAGACAAAUGGUCAUUCAGAUUUUGCUAAACCUACAGGGCAAAAGACAACUAUUCCAGUUUUGAAAAAGUUGUAUGUAGAUUUAUUUCUUUGACUAUGUUUUUGCCCAUUGUGUAUAAUUCUGCUCUUUAUGACCAUGCUAGUCUAAACCCUUUUCCUUGUAACAAUUCUACAAGUAUUUGAAGACAAAUAGUCAAACCAUACUACCUCUACUCCAUGUCUUCUCAGAAGCAGUAUUUGCUCUUCCUUCACAUCAGUGGUGUACAAUUCACUCUGGCCUGGAGGAAAAAAAAUAAAUUCAAUCCUCAUUAUUAAUAUUUUCUCCAUCACUUUGUCAAAUCUAGUCCACCAAUAAUGCAAUAAAUUCUACCCUUAUUCAUAAUAUUUAUCAAUUUAAGUGUAAAUGUUCAUAUUUGAAAUUUAACAAAGAAAAAAUACAUAUGUUCAUUAUAUAUUUUAAAAGAAUAACAAGUUGUACUCAAUACAUUUGCAGUUUUGUAAGCAAUCAUCUUUUUAUAAUUCUACUAUGAUAUCAAAGUGUUAUCAAAGUACAUUUUAAAAAUUAAAUAUGAAAUAAUUUUUUAUGUGUGUACUGAGGCAAUUGAGGUUAAGUGACUUGCCCAGGGUCGCAUAGCUAGGAAGUGUUAUGUGUCUGAGCCCAAAUUUGAACUCAGGUCCUGACUUCAGGGCUGGUGCGCUAUCCACUGCAUCACCUAACUUUCUCUUGAAAUAAACUUUUUAAAAAAGAAAAUUUACUAAUUUAUUCUCAGAUUGGAGUUGAAUCCACCAUAACUUUACUUCAAAUGAUUCUCUUUUUUAUGUAUUUUAUUUUUCCUAGUUAUAUAUAAAACCAUUUUUAAACAUUUGUUUUUAAAACUUUGAGUUCCAGAUGCUGUCUUCUUCUUUUCAUACUACAUCCCACAUUGAGAAGAUUCAUGUAAAGUUAUGCAAAACAUUUUCAUGUUCAUGAAAAGUCAUGUUAUUUUUUUUAAGAAAAGAAACAAAACAUAGAUAUUUCCCUCCCCCCCCCAAAAAAAAAACUCAAGAAAAAUAAAAUAAAAAAAAAGUAUGAUUCAAUCUGUAUGCAGACACAAUCAGUUUUGGUUAUUGACAGCAUU
rnacentral:lncRNA from 1 species